rfam:Environmental sequence XZS93656.g1, whole genome shotgun sequence.
AAAGAGCCGCACAAGAAAGGAGUAGCGCACCAUUUUGGCCCCGAGUCAUGCGCCUGGGUUCGUAAGGAUGCGGGCGAAGCGUUGACAGGGAUACGCACAGGCCAGGUAUGGAGCUCCGAAAUCACCACUUCGGUGUGCCGACCGUGUCUUGAUACGGGGAAGGCAAUAUGAAGGGCAGCGUUAGGCGCGAGCGGUCCUUCGACACCGCGGAGUCAGAGACCC